CUAUAUUCAUAAAAUUGUUAUUAUCUUCCAGGGAACUACAAACAAAAGACAAAUUGAAAGUCCUGCUCCAGAAUGUACUGAAAUCGGAAAUGGCACCCCUGUUUUCUCUUCUAAGAUAUUGCUACAGAUGUGAAGAUUGGUAAACAAAUGAACAAGCAAAUAAAAAACAGAUCCCUUCUGUAGCACAGCUUCUAUUAUUAUUGGAUACUCAAGUGAAUCUGUAUUUACAUAGCAGGUUGAUAUAUCCAGUUCCCCCAACAUUAUAAAAGGCAAAAGCAAAACUGGUAGAUUAAUACACAAAGGAAACAUCUGGAUACUUGGGAACAAUUUUGAAAGUAAAAGAUGAUUACCACCAAUGGUACAAUUUAGAAAGAUAUGAUCUAAUUAUCUUUUGAGAAUCUUCAUUAACGAGCAAUCUUUGCCUACACACAGAAGCUUGGCAAGUACAAUUAUCUAAAAGGUUUGUUAUGUUAAUUUAUUUUUUUGCAUUUUGCAAUGUGCAGCAGGGCACUCAAAAGCUGAGCAGAAUGUAAUAGAUGUUUAAGGGAAGAGUCACCAACUCCCCCACAAGCUACUAUAUUAAAUCUA